GCGUUGGCCCAAUUGAUUGAUGGUGCUUGCACCUGAUUGAUUUUGGUCGCCAACGAGUGGCGGACGGGUGAGUAACACGUAGGUAACCUGCCCAGAAGCGGGGGACAACAUUUGGAAACAGAUGCUAAUACCGCAUAACAGCGUUGUUCGCAUGAACAACGCUUAAAAGAUGGCUUCUCGCUAUCACUUCUGGAUGGACCUGCGGUGCAUUAGCUUGUUGGUGGGGUAACGGCCUACCAAGGCGAUGAUGCAUAGCCGAGUUGAGAGACUGAUCGGCCACAAUGGGACUGAGACACGGCCCAUACUCCUACGGGAGGCAGCAGUAGGGAAUCUUCCACAAUGGGCGCAAGCCUGAUGGAGCAACACCGCGUGAGUGAAGAAGGGUUUCGGCUCGUAAAGCUCUGUUGUUAAAGAAGAACACGUAUGAGAGUAACUGUUCAUACGUUGACGGUAUUUAACCAGAAAGUCACGGCUAACUACGUGCCAGCAGCCGCGGUAAUACGUAGGUGGCAAGCGUUAUCCGGAUUUAUUGGGCGUAAAGAGAGUGCAGGCGGUUUUCUAAGUCUGAUGUGAAAGCCUUCGGCUUAACCGGAGAAGUGCAUCGGAAACUGGAUAACUUGAGUGCAGAAGAGGGUAGUGGAACUCCAUGUGUAGCGGUGGAAUGCGUAGAUAUAUGGAAGAACACCAGUGGCGAAGGCGGCUACCUGGUCUGCAACUGACGCUGAGACUCGAAAGCAUGGGUAGCGAACAGGAUUAGAUACCCUGGUAGUCCAUGCCGUAAACGAUGAGUGCUAGGUGUUGGAGGGUUUCCGCCCUUCAGUGCCGGAGCUAACGCAUUAAGCACUCCGCCUGGGGAGUACGACCGCAAGGUUGAAACUCAAAGGAAUUGACGGGGGCCCGCACAAGCGGUGGAGCAUGUGGUUUAAUUCGAAGCUACGCGAAGAACCUUACCAGGUCUUGACAUCUUGCGCCAACCCUAGAGAUAGGGCGUUUCCUUCGGGAACGCAAUGACAGGUGGUGCAUGGUCGUCGUCAGCUCGUGUCGUGAGAUGUUGGGUUAAGUCCCGCAACGAGCGCAACCCUUGUUACUAGUUGCCAGCAUUAAGUUGGGCACUCUAGUGAGACUGCCGGUGACAAACCGGAGGAAGGUGGGGACGACGUCAGAUCAUCAUGCCCCUUAUGACCUGGGCUACACACGUGCUACAAUGGACGGUACAACGAGUCGCGAACUCGCGAGGGCAAGCAAAUCUCUUAAAACCGUUCUCAGUUCGGACUGCAGGCUGCAACUCGCCUGCACGAAGUCGGAAUCGCUAGUAAUCGCGGAUCAGCAUGCCGCGGUGAAUACGUUCCCGGGCCUUGUACACACCGCCCGUCACACCAUGAGAGUUUGU
rnacentral:rRNA from 1 species